rnacentral:rRNA from 1 species
CGAGAGGCCCAAACGUUAUUCGGAAUUACUGGGCUUAAAGAGUUCGUAGGCGGCGCGGAAAGUAGGGUGUGAAAGCCCUCGGCUCAACCGAGGAAUUGCGCUCUAAACUACCGUGCUUGAGGAAGCUAGAGGUGAGCGGAACUGAUGGUGGAGCGGUGAAAUGCGUUGAUAUCAUCAGGAACACCGGAGGCGAAGGCGGCUCACUGGGGCUUUUCUGACGCUGAGGAACGAAAGCCAGGGGAGCGAACGGGAUUAGAUACCCCGGUAGUCCUGGCCGUAAACGAUGAGCACUGGGCCGGAGGACUGCACAGUUUUCCGGCCGUAGCGAAAGUGUUAAGUGCUCCGCCUGGGGAGUAUGGUCGCAAGGCUG